CAGUAGCCGCGGGAAAACGGAGGGUGCAAGCGUUAAUCGGAAUUACUGGGCGUAAAGCGCACGCAGGCGGUCUGACAAGUCAGAUGUGAAAUCCCCGGGCUUAACCUGGGAACUGCAUUUGAAACUGUCAGGCUGGAGUCUUGUAGAGGGGGUUGGAAUUCCAGGUGUAGCGGUGAAAUGCGUAGAGAUCUGGAGGAAUACCGGUGGCGAAGGCGGCCCCCUGGACAAAGACUGACGCUCAGGUGCGAAAGCGUGGGGAGCAAACAGGAUUAGAUACCCCUGUAGUCCCUGUCUCUUAUAC
rnacentral:rRNA from 1 species